CACGUAGGGGCGAGCGUUGUCCGGAAUUACUGGGCGUAAAGGGCGCGCAGGCUGUUAUGCGAGUCUGCUGUGAAAUGUACCGGCUCAACCGGUGCCUUGCGGCGGAUACUGCAUAGCUGGAGUACUGGAGAGGGAAGUGGAAUUCCCGGUGUAGCGGUGAAAUGCGUAGAGAUAUGGAGGAACACCAGUGGCGAAGGCGGCUUCCUGGUCUGUAACUGACACUGAGGCGCGAAAGCAUGGGUAGCAAACAGGAUUAGA
rnacentral:rRNA from 1 species